rnacentral:rRNA from 1 species
ACUCAAAUGAAUAGACGGGGGCCCGCACAAGCAGUGGAGUAUGUGGUUUAAUUCGAAGCAACGCGAAGAACCUUACCAGGUCUUGACAUCCGUCUGACGAAGUAGAGAUACAUUAGGUGCCCUUCGGGGAAAGACGAGACAGGUGGUGCAUGGUUGUCGUCAGCUCGUGUCGUGAGAUGUUGGGUUAAGUCCCGCAACGAGCGCAACCCUUACUAUUAGUUGCUACGUUAAGAGCACUUUAAUAGGACUGCCGGAAACGGAGGAAGGUGGGGAUAACGUCAAAUCAUCAUGCCCCUUAUGACCUGGGCAACACACGUACUACAAUGGCCGCUUACAGAGGGAAGCAAUACAGUGAUGUGGAGCAAAUCCCAUAAAAACGGCCUCAGUUCGGAUUGUAGGCUGCAACUCGCCUACAUGAAGUCGGAAUUGCUAGUAAUCGCGAAUCAGCAUGUCGCGGUGAAUACGUUCCCGGGCCUUGUACACACCGCCCGU